UACGUAGGGGGCAAGCGUUGUCCGGAAUCAUUGGGCGUAAAGCGCGUGUAGGCGGCUUUGCAAGUCGGAUGUGAAAUCCCUCGGCUUAACCAAGGAAGUGCACCCGAAACUGGAUAGCUUGAGUACAGAAGAGGAUCGCGGAAUUCCCGGUGUAGAGGUGAAAUUCGUAGAUAUCGGGAGGAACACCAGUGGCGAAGGCGGCGAUCUGGGCUGAUACUGACGCUGAGGUGCGAAAGCGUGGGGAGCAAACAGG
rnacentral:rRNA from 1 species